CUCUCCUCCAGGGAGCUCAGAAGACUGGCAACUCCAGGUCCUCCCCCCCACCACACCCCCCCUGCCCUGCCACAUCCUGCCCAGGCCCCAGGGUUGGAUCCUCUUGCCCCUCCUCCAGAUGAUGCCGAUGCCAUUCCCCAGCCCGUCUCCAAGACAGCCAGUUCUCAAAUUGUUCUGACAUUUGCAAAUAGCAGUUGCGAAUGCGGCAGACUCCAAAUGACUUUUCCAAUCGCUUCGUUGUUGUUUAUGGAACUCUACUGAACACUGCUGGAGUAAGACAGGUUGGUGAAAUAUUUCUAUAUGCAAUGAUGUUCGAUGUAGUGGAAUCAGAACUGAAAUGGAUUUUUUUUAAAGGCUCCCCCAAAACACUGAUGAUCGCGCUGAGAACAUUCAUUCAGAAACAAAACUCAAACCUGCAUGUUUUGAACAUUUACCGUAUAUGGCCCAGAAGAAGCAGGACCCCUUGGCAUGCUCACCUCCUUUCAGAGGCUGCCCGGUUUCCUUUCCAACUAACUGCUGAUCUGAAAACCUCGUUUGCCAAGAAACAUUCCCUGAGGGCGAGAGACUUCUUUCCUGUCCCCUUGAGAAAGUCUCUACCCGAACAGCACAACUAAAGAACGGAUUUGAUUUCGCCUCCAACUGGGAUGUGAUCCAACUGAUAUCCUUACGAGGUCAAGGGGUGGGGCGGUGGGGGGGGGCUUCGGUUUUUGCUUUUGCUCCCUGCAGCCUCUGGACUUUCUUGAGGUGCUCCCAGAGUCAAAACGCAUCCUGCAGAGACCAGGGAGUCAAUGCCGCCGUGGCCUGCGAGGGGCAAGGCGGGGACUCGUGGACCGGCGGCUGCCCUGGCACUGCGCGUCGCUGGCCGUGGAGUCAGUGGCCCCAGCUCAGACGACUUUUCCGACAUUUAUACCUAGAAGCCUAAAUUACGUUGGCAGCUUAGGGUGAGGAGCAUCCACCAGGCAAAGAAAAGGCGUGUGGCCCCAUGGGCAUCCGCAGGAAGGGCCCCAGUAGGACAAGGCGCUCGGUGCGGGCAGCAGGCAGGGCGCAGAGAAGGGAGCGGGUCUGGGAGCCGAUAAGUCCACCUGCAGGGACUCGGGGACGUGGGGACGCGGAGCAGGUGGCUUCACCCCAGAGGCCAGGAAGCAGCAUCUUGGGGGAAAACAGGGGUUAUGACCCGGUGAUGAGAUCCCUGUGAUCGGAUUCAAUCCCUUCUAUUUCUUUCUGAUCUGCUGCAGUGUCGCCGAAAACAAUAAACACAGAUUGUGGGAUCCCUGAGUGGCUCA
rnacentral:lncRNA from 12 species